UUAAAACUACUUAUACCAUUUUUAAAAAAGUUCAAUAAGUAGUUGAAACGGAUAACGGAUUGAAGACGGAUAAUAGUAUCCGGCCAAACCCUAAUUGGUCUUAUCAAGUUGAAGACGGAUAACAAUGUGGGCUACUGUGCAAAGGGAAAAAAGCAGCAAAAGAAGAAGAAAAGAAAGUGUCAAUCUGAUUCGGAUUCAAUCACUCAAUCCUCGUUGGUUUCCUAAACAACGUGAAAACAAAACACAGCUUAGAUGUCAACGUUAUUUACAUUCGAACCAUUAAGGGCCAAAUGGGGAUAUUAUCGUAAAUCAACACAUGGUUACUACUUUAGUGACAAUCCUAAUGAUGCUUUGUCCCUUGGAGGUCUUGAGAGGCCACCCCUGACCUGCGUGGUGCCCUUUUAAUAUCAAUACAUUAUCGCCACCCUGACCUGCGUAGUGCCCUUUUAAUAUCAAUACAUUACCGAUAAUGUGUGCUUACAUGUUUUAUAUUAUCGUUGUUUGGUCAAAUUUUUAAUAUAAUAAUGACUUCUUUUUUUAACUAUUAUAAAUUUUACUAUAUCUAAUCUGUACAUGCAUGUUGCAUUUCCAAUGAUGUUUGUUCCAUUUUUAUGUCUUUUUCUAAGACUUUUUAGUAAGAAAAGGAUAACUCUAAUGAUCUUUUUGUAAUUAAAGUAAGAAGAUUGAUUCAAUUAAUCUUAUCUAGCUAGAUGACUUUUAUAUGGAUAUAGUCUUGGAGAUCGUGUGUAGAAGUUUGGUUUUUUGACCAAUGCAUUACAAUUGUUUUAUUUUUUUGCCAACGG
rnacentral:lncRNA from 1 species